UUCAACCCAGACCAUUCAAUGAUUCUAUGACUUGAGCUGAGCUUGGCAUAGCUUUUCUGCAUACUCUGAGCCCAGCUUUGCUUAUACACGCAGGGCAACCUUGUUGUUGUUAAAAAGGAAUAUUUUUUAACAGUUUUAUUUAUUUAUGUCUGGGGAGAAGGGACAGCCUCUUGCAAUAUUUGCGGACAACCCUUGCUAAAAGGAGACCUGAUCUCAGGCACUGUCUCCAACCAGGACUGUAAUUCCAGUGGUGAUAACAAUAACAAACAUGGCAAUAACCAUGCCCAAAUAUAGUGCUUGGCACUGUUUUUCCUGUUCAAAUACCAAUUCCUGUGACUGUCAUUCUUUGCAGUCUUCCAAAUCCUGGCAUUUGGAAGUUGCAGUUGCUUCCAACAGAGCCUUUUGUCCAGCAGGGAUUAUUUCCAGUAGAAUGCACUGCAAACUGCGAUGCUGCAUUUCGUCCCUCCAAGGUAGAGAUAGGGACAGCAUGUGACUCAUGUCUCUCAUAUGAUCCUGAAAAAAGAAUGCAUCAUAGGUUCAGCUGCUCACAUAAUUUUCACCUUAUAUCUUCCCCUUCUGUACAAAAAGAUCUUCUCAUCAUUUCCUCUUUUGGCUUUGGGAGCUGUGCAAAGAUCUUCUUCCUACAUUUCUUACAGUCCUUUUCUUAACCCACUUUUUUGUUGUUGUUGUUGUUCUGCGGGGACACAAACCCACUUCCAGAAAGCCUGGGCAUGGGGAAAUGUGUUUCCAGUGAAAGAUAUGGCUGGCUCAGCUCCUAGAAGGUGCCAAGGAUGCUGGAUGUGGGGUUUCAUUACAGCGCUGCAGUUGAAACAAGCGUAGACUGGGACAAAUGCUGCUAUUUUCUUCCCAAAUAAGUCAAAACCCAAAUGAAAUAUUAGCAUUUUCCAGAAUAGUUAUCACCCACCUUAAGUGUGACUCUGGAAAGGACUUAUCUUGGUACUUCUAGUCCAAAGUAAAUAUUUUCAAAGCCCUGAAUUUAACGAAUUUUCUCUUUUUUCUUUUUUUCUUUUUUUCUUUCAUUUUUGGGGGAGUUUUUUUUCAUUAAAGAAAAAAUCUGAUUCUUUCUGAGCUGUCAGAUGCUAUCUGUGUUCUAGUUUAAUUGUUUCAGUCUCCUUUCUUCCCCUUGCCAAGCAUUGCUUUCACUUGUCUCACUGGAUGAAUGUGAGCUUGGUGGGACUGAAGGUCCAAGGAGUAUAAUGGAAAAUGUUGUCCAUAUUGUGAGGUUGC
ensembl:lncRNA